rnacentral:rRNA from 1 species
CGAGAAAGCGGAGCAAUCUCGCAAGUACAGUGGCGACGGGUGAGUAACACGUGGUGAUCUACCCUUAGUGGGGAAUAACGCUGGGAAACCGGCGCUAAUACCGCAUAAGCUCGAGAGAGGAAAGCAGCAAUGCGCUGAAGGAGGAGCCCGCGGCCGAUUAGCUAGUUGGUAGGGUAAGAGCCUACCAAGGCAUAGAUCGGUAGCCGGCCUGAGAGGGCACACGGCCACACUGGCACUGAAACACGGGCCAGACUCCUACGGGAGGCAGCAGUGGGGAAUCUUGCACAAUGGGGGCAACCCUGAUGCAGCGACGCCGCGUGAGCGAUGAAGCCCUUCGGGGUGUAAAGCUCUUUCGGCAGGGACGAUAAUGACGGUACCUGCAGAAGCAGCUGCGGCUAACUACGUGCCAGCAGCCGCGGGAAUACGAAUCACUAGUGAAUUCGCGGCCGCCUG